GUCUGAUGUUUGCCAGUAUUGAGACGGAUACGGUCGAGUGUGUGAAUGACCCGGCUGCAGGCUAACCGCUCCUGAUCAGCACUCUUGUAUUUUGUACAGAAUAAAUGGUCAAUGCAGAAGGGGGCAAGUCUCUGUCUCAGUACCUUCAACAAACAAAAAAAACACAACGCAGAGUAAGACUACAAGAAAAGACUAACCCUGUCAGAACCAGGUCUGACACGGUUACACUGGUGCCGUGACCCGUUCGGCU